GUCAACGUCCAUACCGCGCUUAAAAUACCAGUUCUCGUCUGAUCACUGAAGUCAAGCAGCGCUGGGCACGGUUAGUACUUGGAUGGGUGACCGCCUGGGAACACCGUGUGAUGUUGGCA